GAUUGAGAACAAGUUCGAUGAUUCCUUAUGUUAAGACUGGAACAGACUUCCAUAUCUUGCAUUCAAGACUCUCUUAUAGUUUUCAAAUCUUAUACUAUCUUGAAGUCUUUUGCAACUAUUUGCAAACAUGAUUUAUACUGUCAGUAUCCUAUAUCCUGAUAGUAGGAUUACAAAUAGAAAAACUUCAAGGAGUUAUCACAUAACAUCUUGACCAGCAAUAAUUUACUGAUUUCUCUUUUAAACCUGUUUGGGUUAGCCUGAGACUUCUUGAUUAAUUCUCUCAAAAACUAUAUUCAACUUUCGAUAUUGGCUAUCGAAGUUAGGUCUGAUAACAUUUUUACUGUCUAGCAGUGAAGAAAAUGACUAUUUUUUAGUCAUUUCUGAAAAGAGAAUAAUUGACCUAUUAGUAUAUAAAUUAUUUUAAGCUUAGAUACUUGGAUUUCAGUCUAAAGGUUCUUCCACUAUUUUAUAUGAAUUGGUAGCCUCUACCUUCAAUUCGAAGAAUUACUUUAAUUCCUUAACAGGUGCUAGAAUCCAUAUAGACUGCAUUCAGGUCCGAGUGUGGCUCGGCCAACUCUAGUGCAUCUAUGGAUAGGUUCAUAACCAAUUAUUUUUUUAAAUAAUUUCUAGCAAUCAAAUUUUGCCC
rnacentral:lncRNA from 1 species